GACGAACCGAGCGAACGUUAUUCGGAAUCACUGGGCUUAAAGGGCGCGUAGGCGGGCCUGAAAGUCAGGGGUGAAAGCCCCCAGCUCAACUGGGGAAGUGCCUCUGAUACUUCAGGCCUCGAGGGAGGUAGGGGCGUGCGGAACUUCCGGUGGAGCGGUGAAAUGCGUAGAUAUCGGAAGGAACACCGGUGGCGAAAGCGGCGCGCUGGACCUCUUCUGACGCUGAGGCGCGAAAGCCAGGGGAGCGAACGGG
rnacentral:rRNA from 1 species